GGUACCAAAUUAGGGAGCUAUCUACUAAAGAGCUGAAAGACCUAUAAUUAAGGAAAAGGUUUGUUCAUUUUAAUCUUUCAAAUGUUUGGUAGAUGGCUCCCUAAUGUGGUACC